rnacentral:rRNA from 1 species
GCAUAACGCGAAGAACCUUACCAGGCCUUGACAUGCAGAGAACUUUCCAGAGAUGCUUUGGUGCCUUCGGGAACUCUGAGACAGGUGCUGCAUGGCUGUCGUCAGCUCGUGUUGUGAAAUGUUGGGUUAAGUCCCGCAACGAGCGCAACCCUUAUCCUUUGUUGCCAGCGGUUAGGCCGGGAACUCAAAGGAGACUGCCAGUGAUAAACUGGAGGAAGGUGGGGAUGACGUCAAGUCAUCAUGGCCCUUACGAGUAGGGCUACACACGUGCUACAAUGGCGCAUACAAAGAGAAGCGGCCUCGCGAGAGCAAGCGGACCUCAUAAAGUGCGUCGUAGUCCGGAUUGGAGUCUGCAACUCGACUCCAUGAAGUCGGAAUCGCUAGUAAUCGUAGAUCAGAAUGCUACGGUGAAUACGUUCCCGGGUCUUGUACACACCG